rnacentral:rRNA from 1 species
CCUACGGGUGGCAGCAGUGAGGAAUAUUGGUCAAUGGACGAGAGUCUGAACCAGCCAAGUAGCGUGAAGGAUGACUGCCCUAUGGGUUGUAAACUUCUUUUAUAUGGGAAUAAAACGUUCCACGUGUGGGAUUUUGUAUGUACCAUAUGAAUAAGGAUCGGCUAACUCCGUGCCAGCAGCCGCGGUAAUACGGAGGAUCCGAGCGUUAUCCGGAUUUAUUGGGUUUAAAGGGAGCGUAGGUGGAUUGUAAAGUCAGUUGUGAAAGUUUGCGGCUCAACCGUAAAAUUGCAGUUGAAACUGGCAGUCUUGAGUACAGUAGAGGUGGGCGGAAUUCGUGGUGUAGCGGUGAAAUGCUUAGAUAUCACGAAGAACUCCGAUUGCGAAGGCAGUUCACUGGACUGCAACUGACACUGAGGCUCGAAAGUGUGGGUAUCAAACAGGAUUAGAUACCCUUGUAGUC